AAAUUGAAGAGUUUGAUCAUGGCUCAGAUUGAACGCUGGCGGCAGGCCUAACACAUGCAAGUCGAACGGUAACAGGAAGCAGCUUGCUGCUUCGCUGACGAGUGGCGGACGGGUGAGUAAUGUCUGGGAAACUGUCUGAUGGAGGGGGAUAACUACUGGAAACGGUGGCUAAUACCGCAUAACGUCGCAAGACCAAAGAGGGGGACCUUCGGGCCUCUUGCCAUCAGAUGUGCCCAGAUGGGAUUAGCU
rnacentral:rRNA from 1 species